GGAGAGGUGGCCGAGCGGUCGAAGGCGCACGAUUGGAAAUCGUGUAUACGGGAGACCGUAUCGAGGGUUCGAAUCCCUCUCUCUCCGCCA
rnacentral:tRNA from 1 species